rnacentral:rRNA from 1 species
GACGAACGCUGGCGGCGCGCUUAACACAUGCAAGUCGAACGGAAAGGCCUGCUUUCCCUUGUGGAUUGCGGGUACUCGAGUGGCGAACGGGUGAGUACCACGUGAGUGAUCUGUUCCCAACUUGGGGAUAAGCCUGGGAAACUGGGUCUAAUUCCCGAUAGUACUGCAGGGUGGAGCCUGUGGUGGAAAACGAUUUUCUAGUGGUUGGGGAUGAGCUCGCGGCCUAUUAGCGUGUUGGUGGGGUAAUGACCUACCAAGGCGGCGACGGGUAGCCGGCGUGUGAUGAUGGACAGCCGCAUUGAGACAGGGAUACGGCCCAGACUGGAGCGGGAGGCAGCAAAGGUGGGUAUAUGAGAGUAGGCGGAAGCCUGACACAGCGACGCCGCGUAGAAGAUGUCGGCCUUCGAAAGGUAAACUCCUUUGGACCGCGAGGAAGCCACCUGGUUGGAGGGGUGGUGACGGUAGUGGAAGAAGAAGCACCGGCUAACUACGUG